rnacentral:rRNA from 2 species
UUUAUUGGAGAGUUUGAUCCUGGCUCAGGAUGAACGCUGGCGGCGUGCCUAAUACAUGCAAGUCGAGCGAAUGGAUUAAGAGCUU